UCCCCCUUCCUUCGGCAUCCCUUUCAGCACCUGAACCUCUUGGUGGGGGAGCUGCCGGAACAAAAUCAUUUUCUAUUCAAAAAAAUCAAUAUCGGACAAGAUCGUAGAAAAGAGGUAGUGGCUGGUCUUUCCCUUUCCCCAACUCCAUCUCCUCGUCCACCCGGUGAAGCUGCUUCUCGUAUUAAGAAAGCUCUGACUUAGGCUUAGGAACUUGCUUGCUUCUUUG
rnacentral:misc_RNA from 1 species